GAUGAACGCUGGCGGCGUGCCUAAUACAUGCAAGUCGUACGGAAAGGCCCUUCGGGGUACGCGAGUGGCGGACGGCUGAGUAACGCGUGGGAACGUGCCCCAAAGUGAGGGAUAACGCACCGAAAGGGGUGCUAAUACCGCAUAUGGUCUUCGGAUUAAAGCUUCGGCGCUUUGGGAGCGGCCCGCGUACGAUUAGAUAGUUGGUGAGGUAAUGGCUCACCAAGUCGACGAUCGUUAGCUGGUCUGAGAGGAUGAUCAGCCAGACUAGGACUGAGACACGGCCCAGACUCCUACGGGAGGCAGCGGUAAGGAAUCUUCCACAAUGGGGGCAACCCUGAUGGAGCAACGCCGCGUGCAGGAUGAAGGUUUUCGGAUCGUAAACUGCUUUUAUAAGUGAAGAAUAUGACGGUAACUUAUGAAUAAGGAUCGGCUAACUACGUGCCAGCCGCCGCAGUAA
rnacentral:rRNA from 1 species